GCCCAGGGGUGAGGCUACAGUGCCAGAACACUUGCUUGUGCAUAACUAAGGCGCCCUCUUCAAGCAGCCCUUUUAACUGGGAGCAAAGCGA
rnacentral:snoRNA from 1 species